UACAGAAGCAUCGAUUUUCACA
rnacentral:miRNA from 1 species